GAUUUUAUAUCACUUUAGUUUUCAAUAUCGUCAUUCACGUGAAAUACCUGGCUAAGUAAUGACUCAGAUUUCUUCCAUAUCCAAUGCCUUUCCUACUUUUUUUACGCUUGUCUUGCACCUCUCACAGGGCACACUCCUUUAGCUGGACCAAAUUGAAUUCCUGCCAAUGUGCAUUCCUAGUUUAACCAGCCAGUCUCACUCACCACAUGCUGGGGGAAAGGCAUGAACUCCAGGUUUCAUUCUGCAGCUUGACAGUGGUGGGACUCAGGGAAAGCUGGGUCUGUGACUUGGGGUCUGAUUCUCUUCCUUACUGAUUUGUCAACUCCACCCAGUCCAUUAACCUUUUGGAGCACUACGUUACCUCAUCUGAUGUUUUCUGUGAGAAAUGAAGGAAUUUAGAGAGAAAAUGAGGAUUAGAAUGAGGGAGGAAAGAAGGACAGCAAGGAGUUUUUAUCUGAGGUAGAGUUGCCCAAGAGACUUUUAAGAGUAAAGCUGGGCAACAUUAAAUUUUAAGUUGCUUAUCAUCCAAUGCUGUCAUGCAAUCCCCUUCUGUUACUAACACCUUGUAAAAUAUAUACACAUACACAAUUUUUAUUGCUGACACUUUGGAAUAGGGAUGAGUUCAAAGGCGUUUGACUUCUGAGCUAAGAGUCUGCAGAGAGAAAACAAUACUCAUAGGUGAGAUAUAUAUAAUAGAUUGGAAACUCAUCAUAAAUAGAAAAAUAAUUUAAGUAGUUAUCAGGGGAAAUGGAGCCCUCCUGAGCAUUCCUGCAGAUACUGUACUAAUUUUGGAUUGCCAAUUUUUUUUAUCAUGUCAAAGGAUAUUUUCAAAGACAUCGUUGUUUUCUUCAAUGAUUUCAUCAUUAUUUUCUUUCAGUGAUUUUAAUCAUAGAACAAAAUUCCUUUAUACUGAGUACAGGUAUCCUUAUAUAAAUUUUACUAUAUUGUGCUCAUCUUUGCCUCAUUUCCCCAUGGACUGUUGAACAUUUCAUUCCUAGACAAGCAUGUGAGAAUGUUGAAUCUAGAUUCCAACUCCUUUGAAAGCUAAGGAGUCUGGUGUUUAAAGAAAGUAGCUUGCCCAGUUUACCUGGUUGGGAGUAACUUUGUCUUUGUGUCUCAUUGAAUAUUUCCAGGAGGAGGAAGUGUUACUAAUCAGGAUCCCAGACUGAAUGUCAUAAUUGUUUUCCCAGAGGCAAGACAAGCGUUUCACAGUACAGGAAUGAUGUGGUCAUAUUGAUGUGGAAACUUUCUUAGAGUUUUUGGUCCUAUAACCUCAUUUUGCAGAUGUUUUCAUUUAAGUUUGGAAGCAUUAAGUGAUUUAUUCAAGCUCACACAGCUGUUUUGUAGUAAAAGGGAGAUUGAACCCAGGUUUCAUGAUUCCUGGUUCAUCUAGACAUUCACCCGUUUUGACACCUCCUGGGUGCCUUUACUGGGAGAGGUGCUGAGAAAUAAUAAACCACACAGUACUGUAGCUGUAUUCACAAUUGUUGGGUUUAGAAAGCGAUAAAUAGAUGCAUCAAACCUUAGCUUUGAAAUGGAACUUAGAGUUUAUUUACUCUAAUUUGUAAUUGAGAUAAUGAGGCCCUAAUCUAAUGAGGUAACUUGGGAUGAACAGACAGAUUUGAGUAAUUCUGGUGUUAAGAGUCACAACUUGAUGGCUAAUUGACCAUGGAGUCUGAAAGAUAGAAGAGUCUGAAAGAUAGAAAAGUCAAAGAUAUACAAGGAAUUAAGAACUUGGGAGCAGAACAGUGUAGUUAUUAAAAACUUGGACUGUGGAGUUCUCUGCCAUUAAUAUUUGAGGGACCUUAGAUCAGAUGACCUCAGUUCACUCAUCUGUGAAAUCAAGGUCAUUUCAAUUUUAGGGGUUUUGUGAGGAUCAGGGAGGUAUUAUAUUUGUUGCAUUCUAUUGCCUGGCACAUAAUAAGUAUUAUUAUCAAGAGCAUUAGUGGUAUUGAUUUAUGAGAAGAAGUGAGGUGUGUUGGUUUUGGGGAAUUCUUUCUCCAUUAACUAUGCAUUCAAUUUUUCGAUUUAUGAAGCAUCUAGCACCUGACUACAUCAAUUAGCCAUGCUUUGUAUUGUGUCCUCCAUUAUCUCAGAGUUUUUUAACUGUUAAACACAAAUUAAAGGAUUGAGAGUAGAUUUGGGCUUCCAAGUUUUGGAACAAGAAUUCAGUGAAACUUGAGUAAGAAGACCAUCCAGGGCAAUCCAGGGAAAGAGUGAUCACUGUCCAUGCUACGCUGUUGACUAUGAACCCUUAUUAGACAAUGCAAAGCAAGUAUCUUGACUCAGUUACCUAAAGUAGACUGCGCAAGGGAGAAUUCUGUUGAGGUAAUCUUAGUUGGUAGUCUGGUUUAUAAAACACUUCUGAGUUUAGGGGGAGACAUUGUAACCAAAAGCAUCACAUAAAACAAACUUCUAUUUCCUUUUAUUGCACUUGGUGAAGGUUAUUAAGAAUGUAAUUCUUUCUGCUUGCUAUGUGAUUAGCAGCCAAACCUUUUGGGGGUAAAUUUUCAUUGCUGUGCUCUUGUUAUCGCAAAUGGAAUUUGCAUGCCUAAUUCUCUUCCCUCCAUAUUGAAUCCAUACCCCUUUAGGUCUAACGGCAUGCUAAAAAUGAUUCCAAAUCUCCAAUGUUGAUUGUGGGCCAUAUGUUAGCACUAAUUAUAUAAAUGAGACUUGGUGGCAAUGUGACAUGCUAAACAUUCUGAGCUUAAGGAAUUACCUAAAUGAAUUCUAGCUUGAGUUAGUGGGAGCAGAGGCAAGGAAAUGCGGGCGCAGGUUUUGAGCAGAUGUUAACAGGUCUGCAUGGCUCUUCAUUGCCUUUAUUUGUCUAACUAUAAGGACUGCUGAUGGAACAUUGUGUCAGAAUAUUUUAAGGUGCAAUUUUCCUGAAAAUUGCAUUUUGCACCUACAGAUGGAUCCAUUUUCUGAAUAAGCAGAGUGGAAUGACAGAAUAUCAAAGAUUAAAAUCUGCAGUCUUGCCAUGAGUUUGAAAUCAGCAUUUAUUGGGGCCAGUUGUUAUGAUCAUUAUAUCAUUGAAGCUGGAGACUUUCUAGCAGGACAUUUCAUUUAAAUAUCCAAUGUUCUUGAAUUUUAAUUUUCAAAAUAAAAAUGAGUGAGGAAAAGAAUGGUUCUGACUCAAAGCAAAAAUGAGUAACUGUGGGAGUUCCCUGGUAGCCUAGUAGUUAAGGACUUGGUCUGGGAACUUCUGCAUGCUGCAAGCAUGG
rnacentral:lncRNA from 1 species